GUUUGAUCCUGGCUCAGGAUGAACGCUGGCGGCGUGCCUAAUACAUGCAAGUCGAACGCUGGAAAUCUAGCUUGCUAGAUUGAAGGAGUGGCGAACGGGUGAGUAAUACAUAAGCAACCUACCCACGAAGACUGGGAUAAUCUCUGGAAACGGGGACUAAUACCGGAUAGGUAAUCGGAAGGCAUCUUCUGAUUAUUAAAGGUUAAAAACACUGGUGGAUGGGCUUAUGGCGCAUUAGUUAGUUGGUGAGGUAACGGCCCACCAAGACGAUGAUGCGUAGCCGGCCUGAGAGGGUGAACGGCCACAUUGGGACUGAGACACGGCCCAGACUCCUACGGGAGGCAGCAGUAGGGAAUUUUCGGCAAUGGGGGAAACCCUGACCGAGCAACGCCGCGUGAGUGAUGACGGCCUUCGGGUUGUAAAGCUCUGUUGUAAGGGAAGAACGGUAGAUAGAGAAUAUCUAAAUGACGGUACCUUACCAGAAAGCCACGGCUAACUACGUGCCAGCAGCCGCGGUAAUACGUAGGUGGCGAGCGUUAUCCGGAAUUAUUGGGCGUAAAGGGUGCGUAGGCGGCCUGUUAAGUAAGUGGUUAAAUUGUUGGGCUCAACCCAAUCCAGCCACUUAAACUGGCAGGCUAGAGUAUUGGAGAGGCAAGUGGAAUUCCAUGUGUAGCGGUAAAAUGCGUAGAUAUAUGGAGGAACACCAGUGGCGAAGGCGGCUUGCUAGCCAAAGACUGACGCUCAUGCACGAAAGCGUGGGGAGCAAAUAGGAUUAGAUACCCUAGUAGUCCACGCCGUAAACGAUGAAUACUAAGUAUUGGGGAAACUCAGUGCUGCAGCUAACGCAAUAAGUAUUCCGCCUGUGGAGUAUGCACGCAAGUGUGAAACAUAAAGGAAUUGACGGGGGCCCGCACAAGCGGUGGAGUAUGUGGUUUAAUUCGACGCAACGCGAAGAACCUUACCAGGCCUUGACAUCCCUUGCAAAGCUGUAGAGAUACAGUAGAGGUUAUCAAGGAGACAGGUGGUGCAUGGUUGUCGUCAGCUCGUGUCGUGAGAUGUUGGGUUAAGUC
rnacentral:rRNA from 1 species